AAGGUUAAAGAGAAACACAGGAGAGGUUAUUCACAAAACCAAGAAUUCAUUAACUAAUGGAAAUGAAUUCCACAUUUACUUGAUGAACACAGUAAUUAUUACAUAUGAUUUGUAGUCAUCCUUUUGGCAUUACCAGAACCCUUGUAUUGGUUACAAUCAGCUUGCAACCGGGGACAUUCAAGAGAAUCAAAGAAUUAAUGCAAUAAAUGGCCGAGUAGUUUAUUCACUUCUGUUGCAUUACACGAGCAGAGUCAUCUCCUUCACAUAUUAUCACUGCUGAGUUUGGGUUGAGUUGACUAGCCAAUUCAGGUUGAGCCUUAAGAUACUCUUCCCUAACAAAAGAAGCAGCCUCUUCUGCAAAAUCAGCAUCUACAAAUGCAACACAACAGCCUCUAAAUCCAGCACCGCUAAACCGUGCCCCAAAUACACCAGGAGCCCUCAGAAGAAUCUUGUACAGUUGUUUCAGUGGCACGCAGCCGCAUUCAUAGUUCUGAAUAGAACUUAAACCAGAGGCUGAAAUGAGCUUUCCGAAUUCUUGUAAGUUGCCAGAAGCCCAAGCUUCAAGACCUUUGAUAACCCGCUUAUUUUCUGAAAAAUAAUGUUCUGCUCUUUUGGCUAGAAGGGGUUCCAAGUUGCCCUUGUACAUUUCAUAUGCCUCUGGCUCAACAUUGCAUAGAUAAGGCUCCAUGCUUUCAUUUCCAGAAGCUUUUAGUAGAAAUCUUGCAGCUUGUUGACACUCUGCAACCCGACAAUUGUAUCCAGGGUUGUUGGUCAAAGCAUUCCUAAGGCCUGAGAACGCCACUAAUAUUUUGUAGAAUUUCUGCAACUUCAAUGGACGAAUAAGCUUGUGCUCUUUAGUCUUGCAGUCCAUGCACAUUAGGCAACCAUGUCUUGAAAGCAAUAUUGCUGAUUGAUCCAGUAUGCCAUUUCUCAGGCCAAAGUAUUCAUUUUCAAUCACCCUGUCAUAUUCAAUAUUUUCAGUAGGAGGUAUAGUUAAGUUAUUCGCACUUUCCAAAGCCAAUAGAUAAGCAACUCCAACAGCAGCAGAAGAACUAAGGCCAGAACUGUCAAAACCUUCGGAACCACUAAUGUACCCUAUGACACCCUGAGUUAUAGAGAAACCCCUGCUCUGCAGUGCAUAGACAGCUCCUCUGGCAAAAUUUCCCCAAUUACAAUCUUCUUGUAGUUUUUGAGAAUUGCUUGCAUGGUUCUCACUGUUUUUUCUAAUGGGUCUUGGGUAUUGUACUUCAUCAACACUGAUUCUAACUUCUCCACUGAAUUGUCCUGAACGCAGUAUAACCUUGGCAUCACCAGAAGGAACAAACCCCAGAAGUAUUCCUUUGUUAAUUGUCAUAGCUGAAACAAUUCCACCCUGAUGAUCAAUGUGCGCACCCAGAGGACAAAUCCGAUAAGGAGAGACUACAACUCGAACUUCUUCAGGACGUCUCCCAGCCAUUGCAGAAACGAUUUUCCUCAAACCCUUCAGCUCAUCUUCACAAGGCCAAGAAAGUCCUUUCUCCAUUGUCCCAGUUCCUCUGGCAAUCACAAAUUCAGAUGGGUAUCUACGUCUCCUGUUGAUGAUUAUAUAUAAGGAAAAUGGCAAAGAGAAAAAUCAGUUAGAACGUCACAUUUCUUCUACAUUGCAUUUUAAGAUCUAAAAUUGGAUUUUGG
rnacentral:misc_RNA from 1 species